GAACGUCUUGGACUUCACUUUUCAACGGUGAAACACGUACAGAACCUGCUUAAAAAAGUGGCUUUGUCUUCACAGCGCUAACAAGGAUCUUGCAGGAAUAUACAAACAUUGCGUGGAUAUGGAUUUUGAAAAUAUUCCUGGUGUUGCACGGGUUGCCUGGGAGACGUCAGGCGGGACUGGCGGGUGUAUGCGCAUGCGCGCGCGGGGAAAAGAGAGCGCGCGCCGGAAGGCGAGAGAGUCUAGCUACGUUGAGGCAGUCGGACGUUAAGUGUGUGCGCAGCAAUAAACGCCACCCGUUAUAAAGAAAUCAAGAGCAGUCAUCCUCUUUUUCCACCUGUCACCUCACGAGUCACGCGAGCGAGGUAACACUGGCGACGCUGGAUUCCACACUAAUGUUACCGGCGUUUCACUGAUAAACAGAAAUGGUUAAAGGCUGAGAAAAAAUCCGCACGUGCUGGGGGAGAGCCAUCUGCAGCCGCGAGCCAUUCUGACCCCCCUGCGAGUACUAGCGAAGUUGCAGAAGCGUCCGAAAGUCCCAGAAAAAACACUUCGUUCCCGUUCUGGUUUGCCCAUCGCUUCUGCUGGCCCUGUCCUUCCAGCCAUCUGCAUUAUUUGUAAAAAAAAAAAGUGUCAAGGUAUGCUCGUUUAAUGGGAUCGGAAGGCAUACGGCAGCGGGAUCAUCUCGCCAAAGCAGAGACAUUGUCGGCAGGCUGGUUGCUGCAGGCAGCAGAGAUGAAGAAAGACUCUUCAAUCCUUCUACAUAUCAAAGACAAAGACUGUGUUGCAAUGGAGGUGCGAUACCAUAAAUCCUGUUACCGAGAUUACACUAGGUUCCUAACCAAGUCAACAGCAACAGAAACUGCAACGAGGGAUGAAAAAAAAUACAACCCUAUGCUGAGAGCUACAAACUCUUUUGUGAGCAAGUGAUCCGUCGUUGACAAAGAAGUGCUCAGAAUGGACAAGCUAAGAAGGUUGUUCGUGAACACCGUGAAGAACCAUGAGGAGCUUGAUGCUUCAGACUACAGGUAGGUUUUGCUGAAAAGAAGAUUGAAGCGUGAUUUCCCCCAGUUGGUUUUUCACACCCCUUUCCAGCGCAACAUGUCUGAAAUGUUGUUUUUUUUUUUGAGACAUUAUCAACAACAGACAAACUUUUGGACAGGAUACCUCAGUCAUUGGGUACAUCAGCUACCGAAUCUACUGAGUGAUCGCUGUCGUCCGAGACAUGUUCUCAUCCUCCACACAGACUGCUGAAGCCCCCUGACUUCUAACCUCCGAUGGAUCCCAGUUCUCACCUCGACUAAUGCAUAAGUAUUAAGAUAGAUGACGCAUUAAGACAGCGUGUUCUUGCAUUGCUUUAUUAGAUAAGCUAACAGCCGAAGUUGGAAACAAAAUUUACUGAGGACUGUGGCCGAUUAGAGGAAGGUAAUAGUUUUUUUAAUCGACGCGUAAUUCACAAUUUGAAUUUUUUACAGACACCACAAAUCCUCGGAUAAAGUAAAAUACAUGUAGGAUCAAGUAAAAUACAUGCGGAAACAGCUCCUGAAGUUGCAGUUUACACAGGUUAGAUAAGUAGUCUUGGAUAACAAACAAGAAGGGAAAGAAGAAAAGAAAGGCUGAGAUGGUGAACCAAAUGUGGAUGGCAUAGGCACCGACGAGGAGUUUAGGCGGGAGUCGUAUUAGGGGCUUCCCCAAAGGAGGCAGGGGAAGAGUCAUCAGACACCAGACCCAACUUGCUUCAAAGUGGUCAUGCGGACACUGGUACCGACAAUGUACUGCUCCCCAACAGAU